GAUGAACGCUGGCGGCGUGCCUAAUACAUGCAAGUCGAGCGAAUGGAUUAAGAGCUUGCUCUUAUGAAGUUAGCGGCGGACGGGUGAGUAACACGUGGGUAACCUGCCCAUAAGACUGGGAUAACUCCGGGAAACCGGGGCUAAUACCGGAUAACAUUUUGAACCGCAUGGUUCGAAAUUGAAAGGCGGCUUCGGCUGUCACUUAUGGAUGGACCCGCGUCGCAUUAGCUAGUUGGUGAGGUAACGGCUCACCAAGGCAACGAUGCGUAGCCGAACUGAGAGGGUGAUCGGCCACACUGGGACUGAAACACGGCCCAGACUCCUACGGGAGGCAGCAGUAGGGAAUCUUCCGCAAUGGACGAAAGUCUGACGGAGCAACGCCGCGUGAGUGAUGAAGGCUUUCGGGUCGUAAAACUCUGUUGUUAGGGAAGAACAAGUGCUAGUUGAGUAAGCUGGCACCUUGACGGUACCUAACCAGAAAGCCACGGCUAACUACGUGCCAGCCGCCGCCGUAA
rnacentral:rRNA from 1 species